AGCUGAAUGCCAUGGUGGACCUCUAAGACCAGAAAGGAGGCAGAGAAGGAAAAAUCCAAAGAAGCUAGCUAGCCUGGAAUAUACAGCUCCACAGAAGCAGGAGAUUGUACCCCAAGCAGGCCGGGUGGCUCAAGGGUUAAAGACACUUGCCUUUAAGCCCAAUGACCUCGGUUCAGUCCCUGUAUCCAAAAGGCAGUCCGUGGACAUACCUCACAAAGUGCUCUGCAGCUUGUAUUUCCCUGCUUACCAUAUGUCCUGGAGACCUUCCCACAUCAGUUCUCGGAAGCGCCUCAUUCGCUUUAACGGUACCUCCAGCCACCCGUGCAUACGGGAGGGCUUACAGAACCACGCCCCCAGGGAACAUCUGUGUGAGCUGUCAUGCCCAUCGGUUGCUGCUGUGAACAUCUGUACGCUCGGAAAUGGACCUGACAGUGAUCCAUCAAACACAGAGGUAUCCCAAGGCUUUUCUUCCGAUGCCUGCAGUAAGAGACAUGGAAACUGACUCCUUUAAAAAAAUAAUAAACAAUUGUUUUAAGUUGGGAA